rnacentral:rRNA from 1 species
UGGUGGAGUGAUUUGUCUGCUUAAUUGCGUUAACGAACGAGACCUUAGCCUACUAAAUAGUUUAGGCCAAACUUUUAACUUAUUGUGGCCAUAAACUUCUUAGAGGGACUUUUAACGUAUUUAUUAUGUAGUUGAUGGAAGUUUGAGGCAAAAACA